GGAGCCGUGUCAGAGUGGUCUAACGUACCUCUUUGCUAAAGAGGCAGGGGGCUUUAUAUCCCCCUCGCGAGUUCGAAUCUCGCCGGCUCCG
rnacentral:tRNA from 1 species